rnacentral:lncRNA from 1 species
CUGAGCCAAGGAAUAAAGCAGGUGAUUAAGGUGAAAAAGCUCUUUCUUUAAAGGUCAAGUUCUAAAAAAACUCUCAUUAAUCCCGCCUUUCUAUAAUCUCAUGACUAGGAAUGUCAUGAUCCAUCAAUAUUGUUGGAUUUUGCAUUUGUUACUGCUGAUAUUUGAUUUACCAGAAUAAUAAGUAGUUUAGUCAAAAGAGGAGUCUUUGUUAAAAUUUUAAUAGGAUAAGUUGGUUGAGAUAGUUUAGAUUUUUGAAUUUGAAUAUUUAUUCUCCUGAUUUUUUGCAGAUUCUGUUCUUAAAUUGGCUAUUU